AUUGAACGCUGGCGGCAUGCUUUACACAUGCCAGUCGAACGGUAACAGGCCGCAAGGUGCUGACGAGUGGCGAACGGGUGAGUAAUGCAUCGGAACGUGCCCAGUCGUGGGGGAUAACUACUCGAAAGAGUAGCUAAUACCGCAUACGAUCUAUGGAUGAAAGCGGGGGACCGUAAGGCCUCGCGCGAUUGGAGCGGCCGAUGUCAGAUUAGGUAGUUGGUGGGGUAAAGGCUCACCAAGCCAACGAUCUGUAGCUGGUCUGAGAGGACGACCAGCCACACUGGGACUGAGACACGGCCCAGACUCCUACGGGAGGCAGCAGUGGGGAAUUUUGGACAAUGGGCGCAAGCCUGAUCCAGCAAUGCCGCGUGCAGGAAGAAGGCCUUCGGGUUGUAAACUGCUUUUGUACGGAACGAAACGGCUCUGGUUAAUACCCGGGGCUAAUGACGGUACCGUAAGAAUAGGCACCGGCUAACUACGUG
rnacentral:rRNA from 1 species